CUUCGAGACUCUGAACAGCGG
rnacentral:miRNA from 1 species